AGGGAGGCGAGGAUGCGCUCUGUGCUCCAACAAGGGCACGCCCAGGUCCUCCUCCAAUGGACCUCAGGCGGCCAGAUCUGUGCUGGAGGCUGUCCUCGCCCGGCCAGCCGGUGCUCCCUGGCUCCCGGGCCCUGUGCUCUGAGGCCAGGGCUCUAAUGGCGGUAGACGCCUCACGGCUCUCACUGGGACUCAGAUUCCUCCCGCGCUCAAAGGUCUGGCUCUGAGUCCCAGUCGCCACCCGCUCACGAAGUGAUCUUGGACGAUCCAUCUUCCCUCUCCGGGCCUCAGUUUCCCCACGUCUAAAGUGAGCGAGGCUGCCGGGGCGUGGCCAGUCCUCCCAGUGCCACCCCGGCCUUGGCUCACAUUGCAGAAUUCUGGGAGGAACCGUUUUGAGUUUGCGACCUGGAGAAGAGAAACUGAGACCCUACGGAUGGGAAGACCGAGGCCAGAGGACGGGGACUGGCCAGGAGCCCGGAGGUGUGAACGUCCAAUGGUCCUCUCUUUGGUCCUCCACCAGCCCCCAGGCCCCUCAGCCAUGCCUCUCCUGGCCGCUCUCCUUCCUGGGACGCCUCGCCUAGAGCAGCGAAUGGGGCCACGACACACUCGGCCACGACCUCCCCUCCACCAGAGCCCCAGGCUCGGCGCCCGUGUGCCCUGCCUCCCGCAUCCUCACAGGCAGCGAUUCUCCCUGUGGUUUGCCGUUUUAUUGCGUGGACCCAUAUUCCAAAGACUUGGCCAUCAGUUUCCACACAGUGUGUCACCCAGCGGCUGAGCCAAUGCCACAUACUUUAGUCUUUUGGUGACACUGCCUUCAACUGACCAACUUCUGUCUCAGUAAGGGAAGGCAAGCCACUGUAGCA
rnacentral:lncRNA from 1 species